rnacentral:misc_RNA from 1 species
GAUGAAGAACGUAGCGAAAUGCGAUAAGUAAUGUGAAUUGCAGAAUUCAGUGAAUCAUCGAAUCUUUGAACGCACCUUGCGCCCUUUGGCCAUUCCGAAGGGCAUGCCUGUUUGAGUAUCAUGAACACCUCAACUCUCAUGGCUCGCCAUGAUGAGCUUGGAUUUGGGGGUCUUGCUGGCCUGUGGUCGGCUCCUCUCAAAUGGAUCAGCUUGCCAGUGUUUGGUGGCAUCACAGGUGUGAUAACUAUCUGCGCUUGUGGUUUUCCAUCAGAUAACCUUCAGUGAUGGAGGUUCGCUGGAGCUCAUAAACGUCUCCCCUAAGCGGGGACAGCCCUUUGAAUGUUUGAUCUCAAAUCAGGUAGGACUACCCGCUGAACUUAAGCAUAUCAAUAGCGGAGGA